CCGAAUCGAACCCAGGAGGGGGAACUCACAGCCGUGAGCCUUUUACCAAGAUCACAUUCUUUGUUUUAGGGUUUCGGUCAUCAAAACAAAAAAAAAUUGGAUUCCUUGUUCAUGGAGAUUCGCAUUGCAUAUUUGCAUGUAAAAAAGGAAAAAAAUUCUAUAGAUAGGGAAUGAAAUACUUAAUGUUUUAGCCAGUAAUUAAAAGACAAGAUCACAUUCUUUGUUUUAGGGUUUCGGUCAUCAAAACAAAAAAAAAAUUGGAUUCCUUGUUCAUGGAGAUUCGCAUUGCAUAUUUGCAUGUAAAAAAAGAAAAAAAUUCUAUAGAUAGGGAAUGAAAUACUUAAUGUUAAACAUGGAAGUAUAUCAUGAUCCCGUUUGACAUAAGAGUUAUAUCAUGAUUUUCUACCUUUUUUUUAAUGUUCUCCGCUCAUUCAUUAUUGGCUGUGAAGAACUAUCGCCAAAUCAUCUUUUUUUUUUUUCCGUCUAAAUCGCCAAAUCAUAUCAAGCACCAUUUUAAAAGGUAGGCUAAAGAAUCACUUUGUAAUAUUAUUGAAGAAUUUACAGAUGUAAAAUCGAGAAGUCUCAAAGAUUUUGUCUUUGGUCACCGCUGCUCUUAAGCUUUCAAGAAAAUCCGGUCACACUCACACAAUGUUAACCCUAUUAAAAUUGAAAUUGCUUCCCACAUCGACAUGUUAAUAUUGCGUUGUUGGUAAGACGAGAAUAUUAGGGUCUUGUUCACAUUCUAUUAU
rnacentral:lncRNA from 1 species